UCUCAAACCUUCCUGACUGUGUGCCCUGCAUGAAGACUGUAUCAACGACGGAAGAACACAUUCAGGGGACAUAGGAAUCUAUGGUGAGUUUGAGCUUCGCAGGCCGUCUGUGGAUGAUACAGAGAGUAAUGUAUCGGGGACUAGCUCCAGAGCGGACAAACAACAACCCAUCUCAACGGUGUGACACGCAGACAGACAGACAGACACACACAUCUAGAAUGUGAGUAAGGUGAGGAUCUGCACAAUGCCUUGCAGAGUUCCGUGGAUCAGAGCACAAUCAGCACCAUGUAUUAGACUAGAAUGUUAUCUGAGAGCGAGAUAAGGUAUCAAGCAAUACUGACAUGAUAAUGAAUGGAUGGGACUGCAGUUGGGAAACCAAGGAAUUGUUUGUAAAUAGGAAGACAUGACAAGUACUUCAGCCAUUUCAACUCACAACAGUAGUUUUCAUGUAUCAUGUUUGUUAGAAUUUAUCUUAUUUCUUUUUGCCAAAUAUCUGUAAGUCGACUUUCAACAGCUUUUUAUAGACCAGUAAUGGAUAUUCUCACCAGUAAACUAAUUUUGAGUUAUGUUUGGCAGUGAUGUUUUGGUGCUUUUUGAAAAGUGCACACAGACCAAUAAAAAUGAUAAUGGGUGUCUAGAAUGCCUGAGUGGGGAGAAUAAACCUACUUUUGUUACAAAAUAUCAAUUGAAAUCGUGAACUAAAUCAUAAUAAUAAAAAAAUCUAUAAAUAGCAUGCCUUCCUUAAAUGUAAAGGUAAUGUGAAUUUUGGAUAGUUCAGCUAUAGUGAUUACAAACAAUAUUUUUUAAUUUGUAUUUGAAAUGCCAUGAGUUCGGUGACAGGAUAAGGAAUUGAAAGUCAUGCACGUCAUUAGUGUCUGUUGGCAAGACAUUGAAGUGUGAUUGUUGUUCGCCGAGGUGUUACAGUACUUCUGCUUCGCAGUUACGAAUCUUUCGGUUUACGACGCAACUGCUUCUGUACAACACACUCUUUAAUAGCGUGCUGGUGUUGCUCUGCGUAUGUCCGAGGCCCGAGACAACUUUUCCCUCAAUUCUUCCUGUAUAUCCCCUGAUUUCUCACGAUGGUUCUGGGACAAUUUCUUGUUCUGUCUUAUCUUAAUAACUUUAAUAUGUACCCCUUUUGCAAAUUCUUGGCCUCUGAUUGGCCAACUUAAGAGGUAUUACAUUCACUAUUGACUGUGAGGUCACAUGAUGGGGAAAAUUAGCCUUUGAUAUGUACACCUUUUGCAAAUGUGAGGCCCCUAAUUGGUCAAAUUAGCAGGCAUAACAUUCACUAUUGACGGCUAGGUAAUAGUUGGAUGCUACUCCUGUCAUUGAUGUCAGAGAUUUGUUUUUCUUUGUAACUCCCAAACCAAUAUAACCCAGACUGCCUCCUAGAUUCCCAAAAUGGAAUGCUUUUGGGUGACCACCUGUUCUCAAGUUGCUUGAAGAUAUGCCACAAACAAUAUUCAAGAUCAUUUAGGAAAUCAAUAUUUUGCAUUACUGCCUGCCAGCUGCAAAAAAAAGUAGCCCCCUGCAGCACAAAAAGUACCCCUUUCAAUGAAAUAAAUGGCCCCCUAAAUUAAGCAGUUGCCCCAUGUGGAAAAAACAGCCCCUACCCCCCCCC